rnacentral:misc_RNA from 1 species
AACGCACCUUGCGCCCUUUGGCCAUUCCGAAGGGCAUGCCUGUUUGAGUAUCAUGAACACCUCAACUCUCAUGGCUUGCCAUGAUGAGCUUGGACUUUGGGGGUCUUGCCGGCCUGCGGUCGGCUCCUCUCAAAUGAAUCAGCUUGCCAGUGUUUGGUGGCAUCACAGGUGUGAUAACUAUCUACGCUUGUGGUUCCCCACCAGGUAACCUUCAGUGAUGGAGGUUCGCUGGAGCUCAUAAACGUCUCUCCUCGGUGAGGACAGCUCUUUGAACGUUUGAUCUCAAAUCAGGUAGGACUACCCGCUGAACUUAA